AGCGAACGCUGGCGGCAGGCUUAACACAUGCAAGUCGAGCGGGCAUCCUUGUGGUGUCAGCGGCAGACGGGUGAGUAACGCGUGGGAACGUGCCCCUCGGUUCGGAAUAACUCAGGGAAACUUGAGCUAAUACCGGAUACGUGCGAGAGCAGAAAGGUUUAUCUGCCGAAGGAUCGGCCCGCGUCUGAUUAGCUAGUUGGUGAGGUUACGGCUCACCAAGGCGACGAUCAGUAGCUGGUCUGAGAGGACGAUCAGCCACACUGGGACUGAGACACGGCCCAGACUCCUACGGGAGGCAGCAGUGGGGAAUAUUGGACAAUGGGGGCAACCCUGAUCCAGCCAUGCCGCGUGAGUGAUGACGGCCUUAGGGUUGUAAAGCUCUUUUCUCCGGGACGAUAAUGACGGUACCGGAGGAAUAAGCCCCGGCUAACUUCGUG
rnacentral:rRNA from 1 species